GCCCAGACUCCUACGGGAGGCAGCAGUGGGGAAUAUUGCACAAUGGGGGGAACCCUGAUGCAGCGACGCCGCGUGGGUGAAGGAGUAUUUCGGUAUGUAAAGCCCUAUCAGCAGGGAAGAACAAUGACGGUACCUGACUAAGAAGCACCGGCUAAAUACGUGCCAGCAGCCGCGGUAAUACGUAUGGUGCAAGCGUUAUCCGGAUUUACUGGGUGUAAAGGGGGCGCAGACGGCAGCGCAAGCCAGGAGUGAAAGCCCGGGGCCCAACCCCGGGACUGCUCUUGGAACUGCGCGGCUGGAGUGCAGGAGGGGCAGGCGGAAUUCCUGGUGUAGCGGUGAAAUGCGUAGAUAUCAGGAGGAACACCGGUGGCGAAGGCGGCCUGCUGGACUGCGACUGACGUUGAGGCCCGAAAGCGUGGGGAGCGAACAGGAUUAGAUACCCCGGUAAA
rnacentral:rRNA from 1 species